rnacentral:lncRNA from 1 species
GGGACACCAGGGUGAAUACUUACAGGCCCUGUUCCCCUUCCUUCAUGAAACAGCCUCCUUCGGGCUGGGUCACUGGGCACUGGGGCCUCCCUGGUCUUCCAGGAUUGCAACUUCACAGAAUCCCUUUUCCAUAAGGCACAUGAAAGUGACUGUGACCCGCAACGGGAGCCUUGACAACCAGCCAAUUCAGAACACAGACCUUGACAUCGGAAGGCCCCGAGUUCAAAUCCUGCCUUGCUCCCUUUCAGCUGGAAAGCUGUGGUCAAAUUACUUAGCCUCUCCAAGCCAGUUUUCCCUUCUGCAAAAUGAGGUUACACAAGCUGCCACCUCACAGAAUGAGUCUCACCCACGCCUCUCCAAGCCUCCCAACAGAAGACAGAGGUCCCCCACAGCCAGAGACAUUUCCUGAAGACAUGGGGAACACAGAGGCAGAAACAGCCCAUCCACCCAGGAGCUGUCCCCCACACUGCCGGGAGCCGGCACCCAGAGCCGCCAGGUAAAACUGAGGCCACCUGGUUCAACAUCACCUUUCACAGAAGGGGAAGCAGCCACAGAAAGAAGGGCCUCGUUAAGAAGUGGAACCUGGGACCCCCAAGCGGUGUCUCUCAUCCUGACUGGGGAUCCAGAGUAGGAGGGAGCCUUUGGUGGGACACAAAGGAACAGAACGAGGCACCAACAGCAAGGGGCAAGCAGAUUCAAGGGCCACAGAGGAGAUGGAGGCAAACACCUUCCCCUGGUCAGAGGCUGUGCCUCAGCCCUUCUCCCUGCAUCAGUUUCUCCUUCAGAAGCAUGGGACUACCUCCCAUCUAGUUCUCGUUUCUAAACCUAGGGGAGAUGCUAUCUUUGCUGCAAUAAUCUUAGCCUACAUCUUGGAAUGGAAAUGGCCUUGGUGGAAAUGGUCUUCAACUCCUCUGGUCCAAGCUCAGGCCCUGUGACCCUGGAACAAUCCCCUUCCUGGUCCUCCAUGUAGGAGCAAUAACAUUCCCUUGCCAGCAGCACCAGCCAUUCUGAUGAUUAAAUGGUAUCGGACUCUGUUUUCCAAACUCAGUCAUUCAGAUGCCCCCUAUUUUAUUUCUUCCAUGUCUGCAAAUGAUUAUAAUAUUUUUAAAUGUAGGAUGAGUCCUUUUUAUUACACAUAGAAAUAGCUACUGUAAAUAGCAAACUCUAACACUGUGCCUAAUUAGGAAAUAAAGGUAACCAUAAAUACAGUAAAAAUGAAACAAUGUUAUUAUGGUUUAACCUGAUAGUGUGGCUUGCAAGGCCCUGGGCCUGAAGCCUGGGCAAUAAGUGAGAGUUAGAAAGGUGUCAAAGACAUGAUAGCAGCAAACUGAGGCUUUGUACCCCACGGUAAAUAGGACUGAAAGCAAAUUCACAGGGAGCAACUGAUCCAUUCCACAACAGAAUGCUCCCUGUCAAUUCGCUUUCCAUUCUGUUGUGUCCUGUCUCCCAGCAGAGACUACAAACUCCCCAAAACCACUUACCCACCAGCUGCACGUGAGAAGCCAAAGGUAGUUUAUGUGAAAGGGCUUUGGAAAUAAUCACGCACCAAGUGAAGGCAGAGGACACACCUUGUCAGCUUAGUUCUCAGCAGCAAAUCAUCUCUUUUCCAGGAUAACCCUCCCUGAUUCUUAUUGAAAUCUCUUUGCUGACCACACUAAGCUCUUCUCUCUCAGGGGCAGUGGGAGCCGUGGAGAGUGGAAUAGACCAGCUGUCUGUGACCUGCGAGGGAGUCCAAUGUCGGAAUCACUCCCCAGCCAAAUGCACGGUUUUAAAAAAUCUAUUUAUUUAUU